rnacentral:rRNA from 1 species
UACAGAGGGUGCGAGCGUUGUUCGGAAUUACUGGGCGUAAAGCGCACGUAGGCGGCUCUUUAAGUCGGGGGUGAAAUCCUGGAGCUCAACUCCAGAACUGCCUUUGAUACUGAGAAGCUUGAGUCCGGGAGAGGUGAGUGGAACUGCGAGUGUAGAGGUGAAAUUCGUAGAUAUUCGCAAGAACACCAGUGGCGAAGGCGGCUCACUGGCCCGGUACUGACGCUGAGGUGCGAAAGCGUGGGGAGCAAACAGG